CUACCUGCAGUCGACGCGAAAGGGUAGCAAUACCCGAGUAGAGUGGCGAACGGGUGAGUAAUGUGUGGGUAAUUUGCCUUUUAGAGGGGGAUAACCCGGCGAAAGCUGAGCUAAUACCCCAUAACAUCACAAUGUCUUCGGACGUUAUGAUCAAAUGAUGGCCUCUAUUUAUAAGCUAUCGCUAAAAGAUGAGCCCACAUCCUAUCACGCUUGUUGGUGGGGUAAUGGCCCACCAAGGCGACGACGGGUAGCCGGCCUGAGAGGGUGUCCGGCCACACUGGAACUGAGACACGGUCCAGACUCCUACGGGAGGCAGCAGUGGGGAAUUUUUCGCAAUGGGCGAAAGCCUGACGAAGCAACGCCGCGUGGAGGAUGACGGCCCUCGUGGUCUUAAACUCCUGUCUAGCGGGACGAAAGUAUUGGAGGUGAAUAAUCUCCGAUAUUGACUGUACCGCUGGAGGAAGCUCCGGCCAACUCCGUGCCAGCAGCCGCGGUAAUACGGAGGGAGCAAGCGUUACUCGGAAUUAUUGGGCGUAAAGGGCGCGUAGGCGAUCUGACAAGUCUGGUGUGAAAGCCCACAUGUUAACUGUGGAAGUGCAUUAGAAACUGUUGGAUUUGAGUUCAGGAGAGGAAGGCAGAAUUCCCGGUGUAGCGGCGAAAUGCGUAGAGAUCGGGAGGAAUACCAGUGGCGAAGGCGGCCUUCUGGACUGACACUGACGCUGAGGCGCGAAAGCCAGGGGAGCAAACGGGAUUAGAUACCCCGGUAGUCCUGGCUGUAAACGAUGUGCACUUGGUGUGAGCCGGUUUUCGGUUCGUGCCGAAGUUAACGCAAUAAGUGCACCGCCUGGGG
rnacentral:rRNA from 1 species